rnacentral:rRNA from 1 species
GCUGGCGGCAUGCCUUACACAUGCAAGUCGAACGGCAGCACGGGAGCAAUCCUGGUGGCGAGUGGCGAACGGGUGAGUAAUAUAUCGGAACGUGCCCAGUCGUGGGGGAUAACGUAGAGAAAUUUACGCUAAUACCGCAUACGAUCUAAGGAUGAAAGCGGGGGAUUCGCAAGGACCUCGCGCGAUUGGAGCGGCUGAUAUCAGAUUAGCUUGUUGGUGAGGUAAAAGCUCACCAAGGCGACGAUCUGUAGCUGGUUUGAGAGAACGACCAGCCACACUGGGACUGAGACACGGCCCAGACUCCUACGGGAGGCAGCAGUGGGGAAUUUUGGACAAUGGGCGAAAGCCUGAUCCAGCAAUGCCGCGUGCAGGAAGAAGGCCUUCGGGUUGUAAACUGCUUUUGUACGGAACGAAAAGGCUUGCCCUAAUACGGUGAGCCCAUGACGGUACCGUAAGAAUAAGCACCGGCUAACUACGUGCCAGCAGCCGCGGUAAUACGUAGGGUGCGAGCGUUAAUCGGAAUUACUGGGCGUAAAGCGUGCGCAGGCGGUGAUGUAAGACAGUUGUGAAAGCCCCGGGCUCAACCUGGGAAUGGCAUCUGUGACUGCAUCGCUAGAGUACGGUA